rnacentral:rRNA from 1 species
GAUGAACGCUGGCGGCGUGCCUAAUACAUGCAAGUCGAGCGAACAGACGAGGAGCUUGCUCCUCUGACGUUAGCGGCGGACGGGUGAGUAACACGUGGAUAACCUACCUAUAAGACUGGGAUAACUUCGGGAAACCGGAGCUAAUACCGGAUAAUAUAUUGAACCGCAUGGUUCAAUAGUGAAAGACGGUUUUGCUGUCACUUAUAGAUGGAUCCGCGCCGCAUUAGCUAGUUGGUAAGGUAACGGCUUACCAAGGCAACGAUGCGUAGCCGACCUGAGAGGGUGAUCGGCCACACUGGAACUGAGACACGGUCCAGACUCCUAAGGGAGGCAGCAGUAAGGAAUCUUCCGCAAUGGGCGGAAGCCUGGCGGAGCAACGCCGCGUGGGUGAUGAAGGUCUUCGGAUCGUAAAACUCUGUUAUUAGGGAAGAACAAAUGUGGAAGUAACUAUGCACGUCUUGACGGUACCUAAUCAGAAAGCCACGGCUAACUACGUG